rnacentral:tRNA from 1 species
ACAUUGGUGGUUCAGUGGUAGAAUUCUUGCCUCCCAUGCAGGAGACCCAGGUUCUAUUCCUGGCCAAUGCA